rnacentral:rRNA from 1 species
CCUACGGGGGACAGCAGUGAGGAAUAUUGGUCAAUGGGCUUACGCCUGAACCAGCCAAGUCGCGUGAGGGAAGACUGCCCUAUGGGUUGUAAACCUCUUUUGUCAGGGAGCAACGCCGGCUACGUGUAGCCGGACUGAGAGUACCUGAAGAAAAAGCAUCGGCUAACUCCGUGCCAGCAGCCGCGGUAAUACGGAGGAUGCGAGCGUUAUCCGGAUUUAUUGGGUUUAAGGGGUGCGUAGGCGGAAUGCCAAGUCAGCGGUAAAAUCGCGGGGCUCAACCUCGCUCCGCCGUUGAAACUGGCGUUCUUGAGUGGGCGAGAGGUAUGCGGAAUGCGUGGUGUAGCGGUGAAAUGCAUAGAUAUCACGAGGAACCCCGAUUGCGAAGGCAGCCUGCCGGGGUGCGACUGACGCUGAGGCUCGAAGGUGCGGGUAUCAAACAGGAUUAGAUACCCCGGUAGUC